rnacentral:rRNA from 1 species
UACGGAGGGUGCGAGCGUUGUCCGGAUUUAUUGGGUUUAAAGGGUGCGUAGGUGGCUUUAUAAGUCAGUGGUGAAAUACGGUUGCUCAACAAUCGAGGUGCCAUUGAUACUGUAGAGCUUGAAACAAGUGGAGGUUGCCGGAAUGGAUGGUGUAGCGGUGAAAUGCAUAGAUAUCAUCCAGAACACCGAUUGCGAAGGCAGGUGACUACGUUUGAUUUGACACUGAGGCACGAAAGCAUGGGGAGCAAACAGG